AGGGCCGGCGCUGCACAUGCGCAGUAGUGUUCCUGCCCGCGGCAAGAUAGCGGCGACCUUCUCCGGAGCUGGAGCUUCGCCGGGCUCGGGGCUCGGGCUCGGGCUCGGCUCGGCUCAGCUCAGGACAGGACAGGACAGGACAGGACAGGACAGGACGGGAUGCCGAGGCGGGGUGCCGCGACGAGAAGCAUCUCCCUGCCGCUAGGACUCCUGUGAGGUUUGUUGAUGAGCGAAGCUGACACACUGAGUAAAAUGAGAAAAGCUGCAGCUGAUGUGCUGCAGUUACAGGUUUCCCAGGAGAAAGAGUAGCCUGUCUGUCCUGACUGUAUAGAUGCACCCGUGUGUUCUCUUGGUUGGGUGACAGCUGAGCCUCCAGAUUCUUACAGAGGAGGAAGCCAGGGGAGAGAGCGAGCGAGAAGCAUCUGAACCGUGAAAUCCUCCUGGCGGCGCCCAGAGUGGGAGUUGUGGCUCUUCACUGAGAGGGUUGUUGCGCACUGGAACAGGAUCCCCAGGGACAUAGUCACAGCACGAAGCCUGUCAGAGUUCAAGAAGCGCUUGGACUGUGCACUUAGUCAUAUGGUCUGAAUUUUUGGAUAGACCUGCGUGGAGUCAGGAUUUGGACUCAAUGAUCCGUAUGGGUCCUUUCCAACUCGGGAUAUUCUAUGAUUGUAUGAUUCUGUUUAUCUCUCAAUUUCUUUCUGUCAGUUUUUUCCCACUUUGUCUACCUCUGCUUUUCUGUGUUGUUACAUCCUGUUCCGCUCUACUGUUUCGAUUGUGCUUCCUUGCUCUCCACCUCUCUAUUUCAGUCCAUCUGUUGUGCUCCCUGUCCCCUUUCCCAGUCAAACCCCAUGUCCCUGUGCUGGCCUUUCUCUGCACCCCACAACCCCCGCGAUUCUCUCUCUCUCUCCCUCUUUCUCAUGCCUCCCUGCCCUCUAUUCCUCUGUCCCAGUUCCUGUCCCUUUCCUCGUCUUUGUCUGCCUCAAAGCAUAUCCCAGUUAUUCCUUAGCUUACUUUUCUCUGUCACUGUGUCCAGCUUCCCCUGCCCCUGGUGUUUCCUGAUACACCCCUCCCUGUCCCUGUGUUUAUUCUCGCUUCUGGUCCCUCUCUGUUCUGCUUCCUGUCCUUGUCUUUUCUGUCUCUCUCCCUGUGCUGUUCCCUAUUUCCUCCUUUCUCACUAGACCCCCCAUGUUCAGCCUCUGACUUCCUUUCUCCAUUGCUCGGUCCUUCUGGCCAGUGCAGUUGUGCCUCUGUUCUGCUCCCUGUCCAAUCCUCUUGAUCAUCCAUGUCCUGCUCCCUGUGUGGUUCUAUCGCUCUGCCCUGCUGUCUGUCCAUUUUCUUGCUGCCUGUGUCCUUUUUCUUUGCCUUUCCUCCUUUUGUGCUUCAGAGCCUAUGGCUGCAGGAGGCAACUAUUCCCUGCGGGAUGGGUGGACAGAGGGAGUGAAGCUGCUCAAUGCUGGAGCCCUGUGCCCCCCCACCCCCAGGGGAAGGGGAGAACGUAUGGGCAGAGAACCCUACCACAGCCUCCCUCUGGGGAGUCCUGCGCAUGAGUUAAUAAAGAGUUUGUUUUCUGG